UACGUAGGGUGCAAGCGUUGUCCGGAAUUAUUGGGCGUAAAGAGCUCGUAGGCGGUUGGGUAAGUCGGGUGUGAAAACUCAGGGCUCAACUCUGAGACGCCACUCGAUACUGCUCUGACUCGAGUCCGGUAGGGGAGCGUGGAAUUCCCGGUGUAGCGGUGAAAUGCGCAGAUAUCGGGAGGAACACCAGUGGCGAAGGCGGCGCUCUGGGCCGGAACUGACGCUGAGGAGCGAAAGCGUGGGUAGCAAACAGG
rnacentral:rRNA from 1 species